rnacentral:snRNA from 1 species
GAAGCCGGGUUACGGUGCCCAA